ensembl:snRNA U2 U2 spliceosomal RNA
AUCACUUCUCGGCCUUUGGCUAAGAUCAAGUGUAGUAUCUGUUCUUAUCAGUUUAAUAUCUGAUACAUCCUCUAUCUGAGGACAAUAUAGUAAAAGGAUUUUUGGAGCUCAGAGUUGGAAUAGGAACUUGCUCCACCCACUCCACGCAUCGACCUGGUAUUGUAGUAGUACCUCUAGGAACAGUGCACCCCCU